rnacentral:misc_RNA from 1 species
AUUAUUUGCAACUGCCAUGGAUGUUUACAGGAACCCAGCCAGAGUUUGCCUCCCUGCACUUCAUCCCAGAGCGCACCUGCUUCCUCCACUUCACCUUCGGAGAGGACACUUCAAACUGCGGACACACGCAAAAGCAACUCCCAGCUCUGUUUGAUGUUACUCGUUCCUCAGCAAGUUGGCAAAACAGAUAUCAUGCUGGCAAUUGAAAAGCUGCAGGCGGGUGCUCUUGCAACUGACGCAGUCACUGCAGCACUGGUGGAACUUGAGAUCUGUUUGAGGAGAUGGUGCCUGUGUCAGUGUGGCAGUCUUUGGCUGCCUGUGAUCAGAGGAAAGCCGAUUUGUUAACAGAUCAAUUGCUCAGAUGAGAGAAGCCACCACUUUGGCAAAUGG